UGCGAGUCUAAGAGUGUGAAAAACUUGAUUAGGCGGAAUGAAAAGUAAGAUGGUAAGAGAGUCGAAAGACUUGCAUUAUCGAUCACUCCUGAUCCUCGAGUGAAGGAAGUGAAUAGUAGCAUAUAUGAUAGAACCCGAAAGAUGGUGAACUAUACUUGAGUAGAAUGAAGUCAGAGGAAACUCUGAUGGAGGUUCGUAGGGGUUCUGACGUGCAAAUCGAUCUUUAAACUUGAGUAUAGGGGCGAAAGACUAAUCGAACCAUCUAGUAGCUGGUUCCCUCCGAAGUUUCCCUCAGGAUAGCUGGAACUUUUUUAGAAUAGUUUUAUCAGGUAAAGCGAAUGAUUAGAAGCUCUGGGGAUGAAACAUCCUCGACUUAUUCUCAAACUUUUAAAUAGGUAAGAAGAUUGCAGUACUUAACUGACUGUCAGUCUCUUGAAUAGUAAGUUCUUAGUGGGCCAUUUUUGGUAAGCAGAACUGGCGAUGUGGGAUGAACAACGUAAGUUAAAGUG
rnacentral:rRNA from 1 species